AACCUGCCCUUCAGAGGGGGACGAACAGUUGGAAACGACUGCUAAUACCGCAUACGAUCUAAACUCGGCAUCGAGGAUGGAUGAAAGGUGGCCUCUAUUUAUAAGCUAUCACUGAAGGAGGGGAUUGCGUCUGAUUAGCUAGUUGGAGGGGUAACGGCCCACCAAGGCGAUGAUCAGUAGCCGGUCUGAGAGGAUGAACGGCCACAUUGGGACUGAGACACGGCCCAGACUCCUACGGGAGGCAGCAUG
rnacentral:rRNA from 1 species